GACGAACGCUGGCGGCGUGCUUAACAUAUGCAAGUCGAACGGUGAAAGCGGAGCUUGGUCCGCUGGAUCAGUGGAGAACGGGUGAGUAACACGUGGGCAACCUGCCCCUCACUUCGGGAUAACUCCGGGAAACCGGGGCUCAUACCGGAUAUGACCGCCUCGGGCUUCUCUGGAGGUGGAAAGUUUUUCGGUGAGGGAUGGGCCCGCGGCCUAUCAGCUUGUUGGUGAGGUAGUGGCUCACAAAGGCGACGACGGGUAGCCGGCCUGAGAGGGCGACCAGCCACACUGGGACUGAGACACAGCCCAGACUCCUACGGGAGGCAGCAGUGGGGAAUAUUGCGCAAUGGGCGAAAGCCUGAAGCAGCAACGCCGCGUGCGGGAUGACGGCCUUCAGGUUGUAAACCGCUUUCAGCAGGGAAGAAGCCGCAAGGUGACGGUACCUGCAGAAGAAGCACCGGCUAACUACGUGCCAGCCGCCGCCGUAA
rnacentral:rRNA from 1 species